UCAUAAGAACAGUCCUACGGACACAAAUCGCCUUGUGUUGCUUUCAUUUCAUGAAUCUUAGCUGGUUAACUGGGUGACCAGUUCGCUGUGGACGGGGGUUUGGUGGCCGUAGCGCUGUGAGGUUUGCCAACUUGGUCAUGUAUUAGCUAGCCCACAAGAUGGCUAACAAAAUCAGUCCUGCUGAAUUCAUGUCCAACUCCUCUGCGUGUGGUUUAUCCAGAGAAACAAAAUCAAAAUCCUCGCACGAAGGCAAUCCGGCGCACCGCUGGCAAGUUUGGUGGUCUCUUUUUUAACACUGACCAGUUUGAAAGGUAACUGCGUAGCUAAUCCUGGAAAGAUGGGACUCGUCUCUCAGACUCAAUCAGACAAUGAGCUGGGACUCCAGACUGUGGAAAGGUGACGGCUGUAACGAUGCUGGGCUGAGUGGCAUGCCCGUUAAAGGGUAAUCCUCUUGCCUACCUUCACAACUGGCAAAAAUAAAAGAAUCUUAAGAAGUUAAUAUAUCCUCUGGAUAGAACUGGAGAUGACGGACAAGCUCCAUGAACC